UACAGCCAUAGCACGUUAAAUUAUUGGUUCUCGUAUGAUCACCGAAGGUAAGUAAGGUCGAGUCUGGUCAGUACCAAGAUGGGUGACCGCUUGGGGAUACCAGGUGUUGUAAG